CCUCAAAUCAGGUGGGACUACCCGCUGAACUUAA
rnacentral:rRNA from 1 species